UUUCUUUUUGCCGUCUCUCUUUUCUUCGAUCUCUCACUCUCUCUCUACCUCUCUCUCUCUCUAUAAGUCACUUUCUCUCUCUUAGAAUCUCGAGCUACUUUUGAUUUUAUAGAUCGAAAUCUGUUGAAUUGGAGCGAUCGGUGGUGAAGUUGGAUCGAGUUAUUUGGGAAUCAGAGGUUGAAGGAUUGGAAUUCGAUCGCGAGACAAAAAAAAUUAGGGUUUUGAAUUGUGGUUGUGGGGGGGAAUGGGAGGAUCUAGGGCUUGGAAUCGGUGAAAUUGAUUGGAGGAAGCGGCGAUUAUUAGGGUUAGGGUUUUGUUUCUGGGGAAAGAAUUAGAAACGAGAGAAGGGGGGAUUGAUGGUAGUCCUAAGGGAAAAUGCAAGAAGGCUAUGCAUGGGCGGGAAGGUGAGGAAAGGACAAGGGAAAGGGGUCGGCACAUGUGGACAGGACCCACACGUGUGAAUUCUGUUCUUGUUGGUGUUUUAGGUGCUGCUGCUGGUGAUGUUUCCUCCUCUUAUUGUUCUGUUUCUACAACUAAUUCAUUUCUAAAGGAUGGGCGUAGGAUCAGUAUUGGAGAUUGUGCUCUUUUCAAACCACCACAGGACUCCCCACCUUUCAUUGGAAUAAUUCGUUGGCUGACUACUGGUAAAGAGAACGUGUUAAAGUUAGGUGUGAAUUGGCUCUAUAGACCUGCUGAAGUAAAGCUUGGCAAAGGCAUCCAUUUGGAAGCUGCGCCAAACGAAGUAUUCUAUUCCUUUCAUAAGGAUGAGAUUCCUGCUGCAUCCUUACUUCAUCCGUGUAAAGUUGCCUUCCUUCCUAAAGGUGUUGAACUUCCGACAGGGAUUUGCUCAUUUGUGUGCCGGCGAGUUUAUGACAUUACAAACAAGUGUUUAUGGUGGCUAACUGAUCAAGAUUAUAUUAAUGAGCGACAAGAAGAAGUAGAUCAGCUAUUGUGUAAGACACGCAUAGAAAUGCAUGUGCAGCAAGGCGGACGUUCGCCAAAGCCAAUGAAUGGUCCAACAUCAACUUCACAGUUAAAACUCGGUUCAGAUAGUGUGCAAAACAGUGCCUCGUCCUUUCCCUCUCAAGUUAAGGGAAAGAAAAGGGAACGGGGAGAUCAGGGAACUGAGCCAAUAAAACGAGAACGUUCUUCAAAAUUGGAUGACUGUGAUUCUAGUCACAGUAGACCAGAAAGUUUUUGGAAAUCUGAGAUUGCUAAGUUCACAGAAAAAGGGGGGCUUGUUGACUCUGAAGGGGUUGAAAAAUUGGUGCAGCUCAUGCUGCCUGAAAGAAAUGAAAAAAAGAUAGACUUGGUAGGCCGAUCAGUACUGGCAGGUGUAAUAGCAGCCACAGAUAAGUUUGAUUGCCUUGAUCAGUUUGUGCAGCUUAGGGGCUUGCCUGUAUUUGAUGAGUGGCUGCAGGAGGUGCAUAAAGGGAAGAUUGGCGAUGGUAGCAGCCACAAGGAUAGUGAUAAAUGUAUUGAGGAGUUUCUCUUAGUUUUACUUCGUGCUCUUGACAAACUUCCUGUAAAUCUUCAUGCUUUGCAAAUGUGUAACAUAGGCAAGUCUGUGAAUCAUCUGCGUACACAUAAGCAUUUGGAAAUUCAGAAGAAAGCAAGAACUCUUGUUGAUACAUGGAAGAAACGUGUUGAGGCUGAAAUGGAUGCAAGGUCUGGUUCUAAUACGGCUGUAUCAUGGGCUGCACGGCCACGUCUUCCUGAAGUUUCUCAUGGCGUGAACAGACAUUCUGGUGCAGCCUCUGAGAUUGCAAUGAAGAGUUCAGUUGCUCAAUUUUCUGCCUCAAAAAAUACUCCAGUGAAGAUUGGUCAGAUGGAAACUAUGGCCAAGUCUCUGGCUGUCUCUCCAGGAUCCAUGAAACCAGUACCAUCUUCAGCAUCAGCAGGUAACAGCACAAAAGAAGGGCAGGUGCGAAAUACUGGUGUUGGUGGUGCCUCUGACCUUCCUUCGAUACCUACAAGGGAUGAGAAAAGCAGCAGUUCUAGUCAGUCCCACAACAAUAGUCAAUCUUGUUCCAGCGACCAUGCCAAAAAUGGGGGGGUUUCUGGGAAAGAGGAUGCAAGGAGUUCUACUGCUGUUUCAAUGGCGGCAAAUAAGACUAUUGGUGGUUCUUCUCGGCAUCGGAAAUCAGUCAAUGGCUUCCAGGGUGGGGGUGCAACUGGGAUCCAGAGGGAUAGUGGAUCAAGCAGGAAUGCUUCCUUGCACAGAAUUCAGGGUGCAGAAAAAUUAUCUCAGUCCAGUUUGACUUGUGACAAGGCAGUUGAUGUUCCUAUAGCAGAGGGGAAUAAUCACAAAUUGAUUGUUAAAAUUCCUAACAGGGGUCGUAGUCCUGCACAAAGUGCAAGUGGGGGAUCUUUUGAAGACCCUUCGGUUAUGAAUAGCAGGGCUUCUUCUCCGGUGCUUUCAGAUAAGCAUGAACAGCUUGAUCGCAACUUGAAGGAAAAAAAUGAUGUUUACCGAACUAAUGUUGUCUCUGAUGUUAAUAAUGAGUCAUGGCAGAGCAAUGAUUUUAAGGAGGUGCUUACUGGGUCUGAUGAGGGCGAUGGGUCCCCUGCCAUUGCACCUGAUGAAGAGAACUGUAGGCCUGGUGAUGAUCAAAGGAAACUGGCAGAUGCCCCUAAAGCUGCUUCUUCAUCAUCUGGAAAUGAACAUAAAACUGGGAAAUUGCAUGAGGGUUCAUUUAGCUCCAUGAAUGCAUUGAUCGAGAGUUGUGUCAAGUACUCUGAAGUUACUGCACCCAUGUCUGUGGGAGAUGAUGUUGGAAUGAACCUGCUUGCUACUGUGGCUGCUGGGGAGAUGUCCAAAUCAGAUAUGGCUUCGCCAAAACAUUCUCCACAAACAAACACCACUGUCGUUGAGCAUCAUUGCACAAGCAAUGAUGGUAGACUGAAGUCGUCUCCAGGCGAUAACCUUCCACGAGACAGAAGACAGUCUGUUGAUGGUGUUGAUGAUGAACAUGAGAACCGGGAUAGUGUUAUAGGUAGUUCACUUCCAAAGAUCACAGAGGAUAAAAUCAUUUCAUGUUUGCAAGAAAUACCAACAGAGGUGCGUAAUGGACGUUCAAUUUCUUCAAAUAUGGAUGUUCAGAAAAUUGUAGAACCUGAUCUUGAAAGCAAUGUGAAAUCGGAAGAAAUAUUACCUGCCACACCAGUGGCUAGAUCCCCUAGAAAGACGGUAGAGAAGACAUCAAUGGGUGCAGACAAAGCGACUUGGGAGGGAAAGCCAGAUACUAAGUCAGAUGGCAUAUGUGAUACAAAAGAAAAUGUAGACAGCUGUCUUCGAAGUGAAAAUAAGUUUGAUGAUGCGGGUCUAGAAGGUGGGAAUGAACCUGUUGAAGGCUCAUUGCCUUGCCCAUCAAUGGAGGUAGAUGGUCAGGAGAUGAAACCUAUGAAUGAUGAGUUGAAGAUUCCUGCGCAAGCAGACCAAAAACCACCUGCUGUAGUGCAUUCUGUUUUUGCAAAAGGAACCGUCGUGGAUGGGCUAAAUCCUUCUCCUUCUGAUAAGGAUAAGGCUUCUGAUAUUGGUGGUGGUGAGGUGAAGGCUGAAAAGGCUGAUGAAACAGACUGCAUGAGUCAGCCUACUGGAAAAGAAAGUACAGCACCUGAAAUUAUUGUGGGUUCAGCUGUUACUUAUAAAAAGGGUGAGUCUAUUGAAGAGAGUCUAGAAUGUAGUCACUCUAAAGAACAACACAGCAGUGUCCCAGCUGUUGCCAAGGUGUCAGUUAUCUCUGUGCAAGAGGCAGAGCAGGAAGUGAGGUCUAGUGGUUCAAAGUUGAUUGGCAGUGAUGCUGGUGAAGCUGAGGAAAGUACAUCUGGUGCUGGAGAUGCUGCUUCAUUGUCUGCUGCAGGGGGUUCAGAUAUUGAAGCUAAGGUGGAAUUUGAUCUAAAUGAAGGCUUCAAUGCUGAUGAUGGGAGAUAUGGGGAAAUGAGUAACUUGAAAGCACCUGAAUGUUCUACUGCUAUUCAAUUGAUUAAUCCUUUGCCUUUACCUGUUUCUUCUGCUUCCACUGGCUUACCUGCUUCAAUUACAGUGGCUUCUGCUGCAAAAAGGCCCUUUGUUCCUCCAGAGGACUUACUGAAGAAUAGGGGGGAACUUGGUUGGAAGGGAUCCGCCGCCACAAGUGCCUUUAGGCCUGCCGAACCUAGAAAAACUUUGGAGACAUCAGCAGGUACUAGUACCUUUCUUCUUGAUGCUGCUGCUGUCAUCAAGCCCAGUCGUCCACCAUUGGAUUUUGACUUGAAUGUUCCAGAUGAAAGAAUCCUCGAGGAUAUGGCAUCGAGAGGUUCUGUUCAUGGUACAGUUUCUGUAGCUAACCUUUCCAAUAAUCUUAAUCUUCAACAUGAUGAAAUAGUGGUUUCUGAACCUGUUCGUGGCUCUGGGGGACUUGAUCUUGAUUUGAACAGAGUGGAGGAGCCUAAUGAUGUGGGUAAUCACUUAACAAGUAAUGGUCGUAGGAUAGAUGCACAUCUUCAGGGAGUCAAAUCAUCAUCCGGUGCUGUUCUUAAUGGAGAGUCGACUGUCCGCAGGGACUUUGAUCUGAAUGAUGGGCCUCUUCUGGAUGAGGUAAAUGCUGAGGUAUCUCCAUUUAGCCAGCAUAUCAGGAAUAAUACACCUUCCCAGCCAUCUGUCUCUGGUCUUCGGUUAAACAAUACGGAAAUGGGGAACUUCUCUUCAUGGUUUUCUCAAGUGAAUUCUUAUCCUGCUGUUGCUAUCCAAUCUAUUUUGCCUGAGAGAGGCGAGCAGCCUUUUCCAAUGGUCACACCUGGUGGGCCUCAACGGAUUUUGCCUCCUUCGGGUAGCACCCCUUUUAAUCCUGAUGUCUAUAGGGGGCCAGUGUUGUCAUCUGCACCAGCAGUACCCUUUCCAGCUUCACCAUUUCAAUAUCCUGUCUUUCCUUUUGGGACCAACUUACCUCUACCAUCAGCCACUUUCUCAGGUGGUUCAUCAACAUAUGUGGAUUCAUCAUCUGGUGGGAGACUUUGCUUUCCUGCAGUGCAUUCUCAAGUAUUAGCGCCUGCUGGUGCAGUUCCAUCCCAUUAUACAAGGCCUUUUGUUGUUAGCCUCCAGGACAAUAGCAAUAAUAGUGGCUCUGAAAGCAGUAGAAAAUGGGUAAGGCAAGGUCUAGAUCUCAAUGCAGGGCCUCUAGGCCCAGACAUGGAAGGAAAAGAUGAGACGCCAUCUCUGGCGUCAAGGCAAUUAUCUGUUGCCAAUGCACAGGCCUUUGUUGAGGAGCAGUCAAGGAUGUAUCAAGUGGCAGGUGGUGGCAUAUUGAAGAGGAAGGAGCCAGAUAAUGGGUGGGAAAGUUAUAAGCAAUCAUCAUGGCAAUAGAGAUGCUUAAUUGUGCAAACUAUCAAUCCAUGAAGCUGGUUUCAGUUCUUCUGGAUUCCUGCCGGCUAACUUUCAAAGGUCGUCAUCUCACUCAUGCUCUCCGAGGAUGGGAAGUGAGUGAGCUAUUCGAUGUCAUUCAGUCUCUGGCCCCCACUCUUUUGGUGUACGAAUUAUAUCUUAAAGGAAUCUGUUUGGGGUGUGCAAGCUGGUAUUCUCUUGAAAAUGUGCUGGGUGGCUGCUGUUCACUUUCUCCUUUGUAGAUAUGUUAACCGUUGGAAAGCAGCAUGCAGUCUGUUUCCCGGACAUUCAGAAUCAGUGCCAUUUCUGUGGUUCAGUGCAUCAAAGAAUUUAUACUGUUGGAUCCAAAAUUAUCCCUCCUUUUCCAACCUUUCUGAGAAUUGAGGAUGGGUUAGUGAAUUGCUUUAAACAGAAGCCUUUUGUAUGUGCUUUGAAGUUAAUUUAUCUUAUUUUUCCCAUCUUUCUUUUAAUUACAUAUAUAAAAUAGCAAGCAACUGGACAUCAUGUAGGAUGAUUCAAAUGACAGGUGAAGUCUGAUUUAGAGUUUUAAAUUGUAUCUGGGAAAAUUGAAGAUAUAUGCUAAAUACUGCAGGUCCAUUUGUGUGGGGUUGUUGGAGUCUCUGAUGGGCGAGUUAAGAAUGGGUAUGUCGAGGUUUGUUUAUUUGGAUUCUGUCGCUCCUGCCAUCAGAAUUAUUUUCAAUAUGCCAAUCAAUCCCCUUUGUUCCUCAAGUCCAUAAUAAUGUCACAGCUUUCUUCUUCUCUUCUUCUCGAGUAAAUUUAUGCAGGAUAUGACCGGUCUUCCUUCAGUGUCAUCAUCCUAUUAAGAGUAUCUUGUUUAUGAGUUAGAAUUUUCAUUAGUUUUUGCUUCUGCAAGGAAGUUUUGGUUGUUACUUGGUGUCCUCGAGUUAUUUGAAUGGUAACAAAUAUAUAUUCUGUA